CCCUCCUCAGUGCUGUAUUUCUUUCCCCAGCACUCUGAUUUAAGCAGUGUGUUAUUAGCACGGCCAGCGCGGACAGACACCAGCCUGCAGCCAGGCACAGUUUACGCUUCUGUUCCAAACUAAAAAGGCACAACUGAAAACGCUCCUAAAAAUAAUGAAGGCCACGUGAGCGCGGGUCCGAGAGGCUGUUAACAAGCAGCUGACAAGUUUCUGCUCGAGGAAUUAGACCCUCAUUUAGAGGGAGAUUAGCGGAAAUCUUCCUUCUAAUUGCAGAACCAGCCCGGCGAUCGCUGCGCUUGGGGUCUGCUGGACGCGGGCGGUGGGCACGGAGCCCCUCGGCCAGAGGUGCAGCUCAGGGCUGCUGGGAGCGGGGUCAGCGCUCAGCCCCCCCUGAAGCCAGCCCAUGUAAUUUGUCACGACCGGUAGCUUGUGUUGUGCAGGGGCCUGGCUGCUGAUCGGGCAUGAAGGGCUGAAUCAAAUCCUUUCACGGAGCAGACAGCGCGGUUCUGCGAGGUCACGGCAGAGGUUAGGGCAGGGCAGGGUGCUCCAGCUGCCUGCAGAGCGUUUGGCCUUCGCGGAGGUUCAAAGCGGGGAAAGCCCCGCUCUAAGAUGCUGCCCUGAGAGCAGGAGAUAAAGCUGGUAACAGCGGCAGCCAAGGAGCUGACACAGAGCUGCCUGCAUCGGGAGCGUUUCACUUCAGUGGGUGUUCAUAGAGCGUUCUGGGCUGAGCGUGAAAAACCCAGGUCUGAGUUGCUGCUCUGGGGCAACACGAAGAAUAAUACUGCCUAAAUCUCUUGGUGACAAACCACCCUCCUGUCUUCAACGAACCGGUGGCUAUCAGGUGUCUGAGGUCACCUGGAGGUGUGAUGGAGCCUCCAGCAGAGCCCCACUCAUCUGCUCCAGCUGAAGACCUCGAUCCUUCCUGCCUGCAGCCUGGCCAUGAAACCGGCUGCGAUUGGAGCUGCUGUGGAAAGAAAACAAACAGGAUUUAGCUUCUUUAUCCUGAAGUCAGACCUGACGGACUAAGGUUCUUCUAAAAGCUUUGAGAGGUGGAAAGUCCCUCCCUGUGGGGAAAUAAGACUGGAUGGGACCAGGGCAUCUACUGCUGAGCACGAGCCUCCCCCAGCUGCAGCCCAUCUCCCUUCCUACAGAAGGAGCUGCUGAGGCCUGAGCCCAGAGCACGCAGCAGCCACUCCCCCGCCUUCCUCCCAAAGCUCAUUUCUCUUUCCAAUUCAGCACCGGGGAGGGGUUGCUUGCUUGCUUUAUUUUUAUUUUUUAUUGAGAACGUGCAAGCGUGUUUGAAACCCAGAUUUCCAUCCAAAAGAGUAGGAGGCCGAAGUCAGACUUCCCAGACCACAAAGACGCACGGCUCAAUCUCAUUCCUGCCAGAGUUUCCACUGUACUCUUCCC
ensembl:lncRNA